CGUCAGUAGUCAUACGCUCGUCUCAAAGAUUAAGCCAUGCAUGUGUAAGUAUAAACGAAUUUAUACUGUGAAACUGCUAACGGCUCAUUAUAUCAGUUAUAGUUUAUUUGAUAAUACCUUACUACUUGGAUAACCGUAGUAAUUCUAGAGCUAAUACAUGCAACAAGACUCGACUUUACGGAAGAGUUGUAUUUAUUAGAUAUCAGCCAACCCUCUUCGGAGGUAUAUGGUGAACCAUAAUAACUUAGCGGAUCGCAGAGACCUUUGUGUCGGCGAUGAAUCAUUCAAGUUUCUGCCCUAUCUUUUUUCGAUGGNAGCGUAUUGGACUACCGUGGCGGGGACGGCCAACGGAGAAUUAGGGUUCGAUUCCGGAGAGGGAGCCUGAGAAAUGGCUACCACAUCCAAGGAAGGCUGCAGGCGCAUAAAUUAC
rnacentral:rRNA from 1 species